UACGAAGGGGGGCUAGCGUUGCUCGGAAUCACUGGGCGUAAAGCGCACGUAGGCGGCUUCUUAAGUCAGGGGGUGAAAUCCUGGAGCUCAACUCCAGAACUGCCUUUGAUACUGGGGGAUCUCGAGUCCGGGAGAGGUGAGUGGAACUCCGAGUGUAGAGGUGAAAUUCGUAGAUAUUCGGAAGAACACCAGUGGCGAAGGCGGCUCACUGGCCCGGUACUGACGCUGAUGUGCGAAAGCGUGGGGAGCAAACAGG
rnacentral:rRNA from 1 species